CACCAAUUCGGUCGUUUCGCUCUCUUCCUUUGGACCUUCCUCUGUUUCUCUCCUCCCCCUCUCGAUUAUUACUAUUAUUACGACGAAGACGAAGAUGAUUAAUUUCUAAUUCUUCUUCCGAGAUUGCAAUACGCUACUUGCAUGAUCGUUGUGAAGCGACGUAGCGGCUUACUCUUGUUUGUAGGAGAUUGUGGAUCACUCUUAUGGUUUCAUAUUCAAUCUUCUUUCGCAGGAACUACUCAUCUGGUACCAACAUUUUCCUUCGUUCUUUUCUUCUCUCUCUCUCUCUCUAACGAAGUGUUACCACGUAUAUAAAAGUAGUUUUUAAUUGGAUGUCUGUGUAGAAGGGAUUUUAAUAUUACAUAGAAAUUAGUAAUUACACUCAAUUUUUAUAUGCAAGUCCCUCAAAUACAAGAGAUCCGCAACCCUCCCAAAUGAGAAUUAUAUUCUAAAUGUGUAUUGUAUAUGUAUUUAUGUAUGUAUUGUAUGAAGUAUUUUAGCAGCA